CCGUCGGCGACCGGCGCACGGGUGAGUAACACGUAUGCAACCUGGCCGUGACAGAUGGAUAACCGGGAGAAAUCCCGCCUAAUACAACAUAAUGCCGGGAGGGGACAUCCCCUGCCGGCCAAAGGGGGCGACCCCGGUCACGGAUGGGCAUGCGGCGCAUUAGGUAGUUGGUGGGGCAACGGCCCACCAAGCCGACGAUGCGUAGGGGUUCUGAGAGGAAGGUCCCCCACAUUGGAACUGAGACACGGUCCAAACUCCUACGGAAGGCAGCAG
rnacentral:rRNA from 1 species